CUGUCCCGAGCUGGGCGAGUGCUGCAUAACCUGCAACCAGUUCCCCUCAGGAUGGAGCUACACGUCCUGCCAUCAUGACAUAAGUCAAAGAAAUACUGACAAUGUUAUAAAAUACAGUCGCAACAGCUGGUAACCUUUCUUGGUGAACGUAUGAAGCGACAGUGAUUAUUCAACGGUGUGCAGGACUACAGAGU
rnacentral:sRNA from 12 species